AUGACGUCAGCGGUGACGUCAUCGGCGGCGGCGGUGACGUCAUCGGAGGCGACCAAAGAGCCGCCCGCGGUGGCGGCGUUGUCACCCCCGGAGUGGGGGAGGGGACGGACGUUGGGUCGGGAGUGGUCGUUGAGGGAAGAGCGGCCAGCGUUGGGUCAAGAGAGGUCAAUGUUGGGUCAAGAGUGGACAUUGACCCAAGAGCGGUCAUCGUUGAGCCAAGAGCGGUCAUCGUUGGGUCAAGAGCGGUCAUCGUUGAGCCAAGAGUGGACAUUGACCCAAGAGCGGUCAUCGUUGGGUCAAGAGCGGUCAUUGACCCAGGACCGGUCAUUGUUGGGUCAAGAUCGGUCAUCGUUGGGUCAAAACUGGACAUUGACCCAAGACCACUCAUCGCUGGGUCAAGAUCAGUCAACAUUGGGUCAAGACCGGACAUUGACCCAAGACCAGACAUUGACCCAAGAGCGGUCAUCAUUGGGUCAAGAGCGGACAUUGACCCACGAACGGUCAUUGUUGGGUCAAGAGCGGUCAUCAUUGACCGAACACCAGACAUUGACCCAAGACCGGUCAUCGUUGACCCAGGACCAAUCAUUGUUGACCCAGGACCGGUCAUCAACCCAAGAGCGGUCAUCAUUGGGUCAAGAGCGGACAUUGUCACCGCUGUCACUGGAGUUGGCACCUUGGGGACAAAACCGGACAUCACUGGCUCAAGACCGGUCACCGUUGGGUCAAGAGUGGUCAUUGGCCCAAGACCGGACAUUGCCGGGUCAAGAAAGGUCAACGGCCCAAGGGACGUCGCCGUUGUCCCUUGAGAUGACCCCGUGGGGACGAGGCCGGACAUUGACCCAAGACAGGUCACCAUUGGGUCAGGACCGGACAUUGACCCAGGACAGGUCAUCGUUGGGUCACGAUCGGUCACCAUUGGGUCAGGACCGGACAUUGACCCAGGACAGGUCAUCGUUGGGUCACGAUCGGUCAUCCUUGGGUCAAGAGCGGUCAUUGUCACCAUUGUCACUGGACUUGGCACCUUGGGGACAACAUUGGACAUCGUUGACCCAAGACCGGUCACCGUUGGGUCAAGACCGGUCAACGGCCCAAGGGACGUCGCCAUUGACCCUUGAGAUGACCCCGUGGGGUCAGGGCCGGACGUUGACCCAAGACCGGUCACUGUUGGGUCAAGAUGGGUCAUUGUCACCUUUGUCACCAGAGACGGCACCUUGGGGACAAAACUGGACAUCGUUGGGUCAAGAAAGGUCAACGGCCCAAGGGACGUCGCCAUUGUCACUGGAAAUGACCAGCACGGGGACAAGGCCGGACAUUGACCCAAGACCGGUCACCGUUGACCCAAGAUUGGUCAUCAUUGACCCAAGACCGGUCACCGUUGACCCAAGAUUGGUCAUCAUUGACCCAAGACCGGCCACCGUUGAGCCAAGACCAGUCACUGUUGGUUCAAGACCGGACACUGGCCCUGAACCGGUCAUCGUUGACCCAGGACCGGUCACUGUUGGGUCAGAACCGGUCAUUGAGCCAAGACCGGACAUUGUUGACCCAGGACCGGUCACUGUUGGGUCCGGACCGGCCAUCGUUGGGUCAGGACCGGAC
rnacentral:lncRNA from 14 species